rnacentral:lncRNA from 1 species
UCUCUGGAGUCCUGUCUUAUUAUUUCUCCCUCUUGUAGGGACUCCUGCCAUUGUGAUAUCAUCCACCAUGUCUUCCACCAGAGCCAAGAAGAAGCCAGCAUCAUGCUCUUAGACCUCUAAAACUAUAAGCUAAGUAACCUCUUUUCUUUGUAAAGUACUCAGUCUCAAGUAUUUUGUUAUAACAAAAUUGUUAUAACAACAGAAAACAAACUAAGACAUGAGACAAUCUCCAGAAACAGUCAGGGGUGACUCUGGCCAAGAGCUAAUGUGAAAAGAACACCCACCUCUCUGAGACUGGAGGAAGGAAGGGCUGGCCAGAUGGAGAAGUCUGCAGGUGGGAGGAGCCGGAAGAAUUCACACUUGAUUCCCUCUGCUUGGUGACCUAGGAGGCAAUGAUUUGUGCUAAGCACUAGAACUAGAGAACAAUCACUCCUUUUACAACCAUGCUUUCAAAAAGAAUAGUUUGUCUUGUUCUUUUCUAAAGAAUAAAGAGUUUUCUCUGCUCUCUUAUUGAGGGUGCUAAGUACUGCUGGCUUUUAAUAUCAAAACUAAUAAGAGGUUAAGGAUGUUGACUCUGGAGCCAGACUGCCUGGUUGGAAUCUCAUUAUGGCUACUUUGAGACAUUGGAUGAGAAACUUUGUCUCCAUGCCUCAGCUUUCUCAUCUGUAAAGUGGGGCUGAUAAUAAUAGGAUCUGCUUCAUAGGUGUCCGGAGGAUUAAAGGAGUACACUCAUGGAAAGCGCCUAUGACCAUGGCUGGCCCACAAUAAGCAGUCAGUGGACGUAGGCUGUUAUUACUGCAGAGGAGAGAGGCAGGAUGUAGGAGGUAACUUGAGCAAGUGGAAGAGCUGGGCAGGAAACAAAAAGGAUGUCAGCAAGGACGGUAACAUAUUGCUGAUAGAAAGGAGAGAGAGAUCCCAGGGCCCAGUCGAAGUUGGAGGUGUUUUGGGGUGUUCACUCCCUGGUGUCAGGAGUUGCCCUGAGGCUAGAAUGAGAGUCAAGAAGAAAACAGAGUUUCAGUCUAUGCAGAGAAUGUGGACAGGUAUAGAUGGGUCCAGACAUCCUGCUGGUACUGUCUAGGUGCUGGGCAGCCCAGGGACCUGGUGGCUGGGCUGCCCCACAGGUAAGGACAAGAUGUUACUCUACCCAAGGCCAUUUGGGUUACAGGGAACAGGUGUCCAUGGGAACCAACUCAGGUCAAAGAGGUUAGGGUGGUCAGUGGGUGUUACAGGACACAGCAGGCAAUCUUGAGUUAUGAAUUCAAAGAGCAGGAAAUGGGGCUCAACAGAUGGAGUCUCAGGGGACAGGGUGGGACCGGAAGGGAGGUUCCUCUCUGCUUUAUGAGCUUUAGGGUCCUUCAGCUGCACCUCUCCCCACUCAUCUCUCUUGACCAGUCUUCUGCUUUUUUUAUGUUGUUGUUGUUUUCCUCUUAUUUUUGCAGAGCUGGGGAUUGACUCAAAGCCUCCUGCACACUAAGCAGGUGCUCUACUACUGAGCCACACCCUGGCCCUGCUUCACGUUCUCAUCAGGGGCAGCUUUCUGUCCCUCUUAUCUGCAAAAUGAUCACAGCCCUGAGUAUUACAAUGUUCAAGCAACAGCAGUCAAUGCAUAGUAUACCUGAUGGACUGGCAGGUAUCAGAGCCAGAUAUCCUAUUCUGAGCUGAUGAGGCCAGAUGCCCUACCCUGGGCCCUCAGCCAUGGGCAGGGUGUGUAUCUUGGCAAAUGCAUUACAAAAUUAGUAUUCCCAUAAAAUAAGUUUGGGUUUCCUCUCAUGUUUCAUGUAAAAGUAAAAACAGAAACUCAGUGAUUUCAUUGAGGUUUUUGGUUUUUUGCUUCAUCAGAACUUCCUCUGCCCCGAGGGAACUGAAUGAAGGCUACAGAUGGAAGCCUGUGCUCCCCUCCACUUUCUCCAGAUGCUUGCUCUAGUGUCUCCCAUUUUUCCCACUUUCAGAGCCUUUUUUUCCAACUUUCUUUCAAAAUUAUUUCAUUUUUUUUCUGAGUUCUUUCCUGGCUGACUCCUCUUACUUCCCUGGAUGUCCCCCCCCCCCAUCUUUUCUUCUCCACUCCUAACAGUUUAAUGAAAAUUCUAACACAGAGAAAAGUUAGAAUAGUGAGAUGGCAGCUGUAUACAUCUCGAUUCAGCAGGCCACCUUUGCCAUAUUUGCUUUCUCCUCUCUUCCCCCACAUCCUCUCCUCCCCCUCCUAGAGAAUAAGAAAAAUCCAUUACAUAACUCCAAUACCGUUAUCAUUCCUAAUGAAAUUAACAACAACUCUAUGUUGUCUUAGACUGUUUUGUACAACAAUAACUGAGUAUUCCAGACUGAAUAAUUCAUAAAGAACAGAACCUUGUGCUGGGAGUGUAGUUUCAGUUGUAGAGUACUUGCCUAGCAUGCACGAGGCCCUGGGUUCCAUCCCCAGCACUGCACGUAUACAACAAAUGAACAAAACCCUGAGCUUUAUUUCCCGCAGUUCUGGGGGUACAGAUGCAGCAAAUGCUGGGUCCUCAAUAAAUGGUAGAGUGGCAGAACAUAUACUCUGUGAAGUCUCUUUAAUAAAGCCUUUAAUCCCAUUAACAAGGAAGGAGCCCAUAUGACCGAAUCAUCUCUUAAAGGGCUCAUUGUCAUGUUGGGAAAACCUGGACUCUGAAGGGAACACAGUCAAACCGUAUCCCAUGACUCUUACAUCUUCCAUAUUCAGAUUUCCCCAGUUGUCUGUCCUAGCUGUUGGAUUCCUAACUCUUCUCAUUUCCAAACUGUAUUCUGAUUCUUGAAUCUCAGCUGCCCUCUUCUUCACAGGGAACAUUCUCUUGGCAGGAUCCAAGAAGUGUUAAAUUAACCUCAAGAAAAACCCACUGGAUUCUGUAAUCCACAGGGAUAUUCAUAUCUCCCCAUGUUCUGCUUGGGGAAAAGAAAAAUCAGUCCAUUUCUUUGGGGCUCCAAUCACAAUCACAUCUGUGUUCUUCAUCACCCUCUGUAGAGUCCCUGGUUUGCAUUUGGUUCACAAGCAACAUCUCAGGGAGGGUCACACCCCUCUCAUUAUCUCAGGAAUGGCAGUUAAGGUUUGGGCCAUUUCUCUGAAAGGCUGACCCCAAUGAUUUUUCCUAAUUUCAUUUUCAAAGAGUAGUUUUUGCUUCACUUAGGUUCCAGUGCUUUCUAAAACCUUUUUGGAAUGCUAAGAGAAGCAGUAACAGGAGAAAGCAAUUCUGGAUGGAUUUUUUUCUUUUCUUAAUCUAAUUAAUCAUUUUCCAAUGUUUUGUUAGGC